GAAUAACUGUCCCAGGGAUGAUCACUAUUCAAAGCAAGCGUCUCUCCCAAGCACGACAAAAUCUUUUACUGCUCAACAUUUCAUAAUUAAAGUCACAAUCUCGACUUUUUUCCAAAGUUUUAACCUCUUUGAAUACAAUUAACGAAAAAAAUCUUCAUCAAAAUGGUUCACAUGAACGUUGCCUCCCGUUGCAUCGCCCGUCACCAGGCCGCCGUUUUCCGUGGGAUCCUUCCCAUCCUGCUCGUGGCGUUGGUGCUCGUCGCUUUUGUGGCGUCAAGUUCUGCAGCUCCGUCUGAAAGUAUGCUUUUGUCCCCAUUGGAGUUGGCAUUUGGUCCUGUUCGUCGCUGUGCUGGGUUGUUAUCUUGCAGACCGAGGGUGUAAAUGGAUCUACGUAGACACAUGUAAAAAGCCGUCCCGUAUUCAAAUCUAGUUUAGAGGAGACCUUUUGUAUUAUUAACAUAAAUAGUUAAUCUUAUAGUUUUAAUUAUGCAUAUAAAAAUAUUUAUUUAGUUAUAAAGAUGAGUACUACGAUACUAUUUUAAUGAAGAGAAAGUAAAAUCUUCGUUUAAUACAAAAACUUACUUUUUAAAUUCGUCAAUUGUCCAUAUGCAUUUUUAUAUACAUUUUUGCAUCAAUUCAUUCGUCAUAAAUAUUUAAAAUAAAUUGUGAAUGAUUAAAUUACAUAAAUUGUAUCGUUUUUACAUAAUUUGUUCAAUGUUGUAUAACGCUCGAGUCGGUUUGUAGGUUUAAUAAUACGCGAAAUAUGUACCUUCAUUUUAACGGGUAAAUUUUAUACCAUCCAACGAAAAUUUAGUUUUAUAGUUUUGAAAUUAUAUAGUCCAACAAGUAUUUUCAUCUUUCAAUUUAUAUGUAGGAUUUGAAAUAAUUUUUGUUGGAGGGGAUCAAUUUGUACGUAAUAACACUUAAAAUAUUUAUUUCAUGCAAAAAAGAUGAUAUGAAAGUAUUAUAACAUUUAUUACUGACUACUGCACAAAAAUAUCUAAAAUAAUUAUUCAAUUAGCAUAUGAUUUAAAACCUCUCAAUUAAUAGUGACUAGUUUGCAAAGUCCUUUGCAUAAUAUGAUUUCUCGUCAUCAAGAAAAGUCGUCCAUUUCAUUGGUUCCUCCUCCAUCUUCACUAAUUUUCUUAAAAGGAUUCCUUUCUCUCUCCUUUAAUAAAAUUGUACCAAUUUAGUUGACCCCAUCCCAGGGGUCAAUGUCUGUCGACGUCAAUCCAUAAAUCCCAAUGACGCACGUCCCUUCAAGUCGAGAUGUCAACAAAGUAAAAAUAAAUUACAUAAAUUCUUACUUCUUAAUCAUGUCAAUCUUUCUGGACUAUUCACAGGAUGUUAAGGAUUGAUGAUUAUCAGCCAAAAAAAAAUUUGGACAUGACCAUCCCCAAUUUCUCAGGGUUGGUAAAAGGAGAUUUUUGUCUGUUCCGCAUUUGCAUAUCUUACUAAAUAGGAAAGAAACAAUAUCACGAAUGACGAAGGAGAUAACAAUCUGUUAGUAGUAAAUUCGUGCAAAUUGAGUGACACUUUUUUGCAAGGUGUGAGUGUCCCAGAGAUCAAAAGCCAUUGACGCAGUUAGUUGGGGUGGGUAGUUAAAUUUUCACUUGGUUUUACUUAUCCAGCAUACAUGGUAAUACUAUUUUUAAUAUGGACGUGAUAUGGAAGGUGUGACCCUGGUGGUGGCGGUGAUGGUGGUGGGUGAAAGGGUAAGAUUGUCCAACAUGUCGGUAUAAAUACCAAGCUUUCUUUCCAUGAAGACCAACACUUGCCAAGAAUCUUACCACAACUCAUCUUCAACUGAUCAAGAAUUUAUAAAAUUUUUAUAAAUCUCGACUUCGUCGUCAAACUUUUCGAUUUCAGUUUUAAAUCCCUAAAAACUUUCAAAUUUUCAUCAAAAUGGUUCACAUGAACGUUGCCUCCCGUUGCAUCGCCCGUCACCAGGCCACCGUUUUCCGUGGGAUCCUUCCCAUCCUGCUCGUGGCGUUGGUGCUCGUCGCUUUUGUGGCGUCAAGUUCUGCAGCUCCGUCUGAAAGUGUGUCAUCCCCCUUGGAGUUGAUUUCUAGUCCUCUUCGUCGCUGGGCUGAUUCUGACUUCCUUUCCAUCAUUAGGUCGAGGGCGGUUGAUAACUAGGUCGAUAAAGUCACGACUACCGUUACGUAUUUAAAAAAUGAAGAAGACCUUUUCGUAUUAUUGUAAAUAGUUUAAAUAAUUUCAAUCCACAACAUUCCAGUUAAAAAAUUAUCUGUAAAUAAAUUCAUUUUAAAUAAAUCCUACUUUUCGCCACUGAUUGUUAUCAAGUAUGGUUUCUCGUAAUAAAUAAAAAAUAUUUUCAUCUUAAAAAAUAA